rnacentral:lncRNA from 13 species
AAAGCAGCAGCUACUCUUCCUGGGGUUUAUUAUGGAUCCCCAUUAGUUCCUGCCAAGGCAGCAGCUACUCUUCCUGGGGUUUAUUAUGGAUCCCCAUUAGUUCCUGCCAAGGCAGCAGCUACUCUUCCUGGGGUUUAUUAUGGAUCCCCAUUAGUUCCUGCCAAGGCAGCAGCUACUCUUCCUGGGGUUUAUUAUGGAUCCCCAUUAGUUCCUGCCAAGGCAGCAGCUAAUCUUCCUGGGGUUUAUUAUGGAUCCCCAUUAGUUCCUGCCAAGGCAGCAGCUACUCUUCCUGGGGUUUAUUAUGGAUCCCCAUUAGUUCCUGCCAAGGCAGCACCUACUCUUCCUGGGGUUUAUUAUGGAUCCCCAUUAGUUCCUGCCAAGGCAGCAGCUACUCUUCCUGGGGUUUAUUAUGGAUCCCCAUUAGUUCCUGCCAAGGCAGCAGCUACUCUUCCUGGGGUUUAUUAUGGAUCCCCAUUAGUUCCUGCCAAGGCAGCAGCUACUCUUCCUGGGGUUUAUUAUGGAUCCCCAUUAGUUCCUGCCAAGGCAGCAGCUACUCUUCCUGGGGUUUAUUAUGGAUCCCCAUUAGUUCCUGCCAAGGCAGCACCUACUCUUCCUGGGGUUUAUUAUGGAUCCCCAUUAGUUCCUGCCAAGGCAGCAGCUACUCUUCCUGGGGUUUAUUAUGGAUCCCCAUUAGUUCCUGCCAAGGCAGCAGCUACUCUUCCUGGGGUUUAUUAUGGAUCCCCAUUAGUUCCUGCCAAGGCAGCAGCUACUCUUCCUGGGGUUUAUUAUGGAUCCCCAUUAGUUCCUGCCAAGGCAGCAGCUACUCUUCCUGGGGUUUAUUAUGGAUCUCCAUUAGCUGUUGCAAAAGCAGCAGCUACUCUUCCUGGGGUUUAUUAUGGAUCCCCAUUAGUUCCUGCCAAGGCAGCAGCUACUCUUCCUGGGGUUUAUUAUGGAUCCCCAUUAGUUCCUGCAAAAGCAGCAGCUACACUUCCUGGGGUCCACACAAAACAUGGAACAUGA